rnacentral:rRNA from 1 species
GGUAUGUAAAGCUCUAUCAGCAGGGAAGAUAAUGACGGUACCUGACUAAGAAGCCCCGGCUAACUACGUGCCAGCAGCCGCGGUAAUACGUAGGGGGCAAGCGUUAUCCGGAUUUACUGGGUGUAAAGGGAGCGUAGACGGCAAGGCAAGUCUGAUGUGAAAACCCAGGGCUUAACCCUGGGACUGCAUUGGAAACUGUCUGGCUCGAGUGCCGGAGAGGUAAGCGGAAUUCCUAGUGUAGCGGUGAAAUGCGUAGAUAUUAGGAAGAACACCAGUGGCGAAGGCGGCUUACUGGACGGUAACUGACGUUGAGGCUCGAAAGCGUGGGGAGCAAACAGGAUUAGAUACCCUGGUAGUCCCACGCCGUAAACGAUGAAUGCUAGGUGUUGGGGAGCAAAGUCUCUUCGGUGCCGCCGCACAAGCAUUAAGCAUUCCACCUGGGGAGUA